AGUAGAUUAAAAUGUUCUUUGUUAAAUAUGGGGUUACUUAUGGUUAAUUUGACCACAGUGUUGGUUAAUUAAUUUGAUCACUAUCGUGGCUAAUUCAACAAGGAUUAAAUCGACAUCGUACCCAGGGUCAGGGUCAAUAUAUUCUCUUAAAUUCAAUGUACCUUUCUUUAUUUUGCUUUACACAGAAGACACAAUAUGCAAGUUCAAGAAUGAUUUAACUGACAGUUCUAUUGUGGCGAUAAGCGAAGCACCAAUAUGAUUGAGCAGUUGAAUAAGGAGCUUUUCUUUUGUGAAUCUAAAUUUGGAUUUUUAGGAUUCGGAUUUUGCGGAUUCGUUAAACAAAUGGAACGAAUUGUGGGAAUCGGAAUUCGCCUGCUGUUUUCCCGCCACUUUUACAAUAAGUUUUCUGUCCCACUAUACCUUUCGGUCGGGUCAAGCUGCAUGCUAGAAGGCCAGAAGCCCAAAAAGAACGUUGCAUCCUAAUCAAGUUUCAGAUUGAAUCCGAAAAAUCCAUAUGUUGAGGUGGAUUCAUCAGAUACGAAUCUAUUUUAAGAUUUUGUUAAACGAAACUGAAAAUCGAUAAUCGGAUUUGAAGAUCCAAAUCCGGAUUGCACUAAAGGAACGCACCCAUAUGACAUGUACAUUUUAAUGCUUCCAAUCUCAACUACAGCAGACAUUUUACGAUACAACUGGAAUUUAUCACGUCAAAGAAUGCGUCAUUUGGAUUUGACUCUGGGGUAAGCACUUCACGCAAGUUUCAAUCCAUCUAAACAUUAGGUAUGCGCAACGCAAUGUGGGAUACAUGUGGGUCAAAUAUUCAUUGUUUGACAGUGACAUCACGUAAGGAAUUCUAAGGUUAAUUGGGUUAUUGAAUCUACAAAAUCAGAUGGUGCGUAACAGGGCGUCUUUGGUCAGGACUAUAAUAAUCACAAUUAUUCCCUCAUAGUCACCUUUCAUUACUUGAGGUCCACGGAUAUAUAGUUCACCUCUUUCAUUCUCGCCAAGAGCUUCUCCAGUGGUUAAAUCAAUCACCUAGUAGAUUCAUUAGAUCACCUCUUUUAUCAUUCAUAUAACAAUAAAUUACCAAACAACUAGACAUAGAUAGUUUAUCUGCCAUUUUUUCGAAGUCAAAAUGACUUCCGAAAAGGAUCAAUAAGGGCAUUUUGACUAGCUAGUUAUAUGCAAUCCACUUUGCAAACCAGGUUUAUUCAGCAUCAGGGCUCUCCCCCCCCCCCCCCCCGGUUUAGGCCAAAUCAAUAUUCUGUGGAAAAACGGCUGUAGCAAAAUCCUGAAAACGCCCAGGAAAAGAGGUGCAUAUGGUCGAAGGGAAUUCUCACUCCUGGUCGAAUUCAAUACGUGAAAUUUAUAUCUACAACUAUAU